UGGGACUUACUGACUUAGUGAGCUACUUA
rnacentral:piRNA from 2 species